rnacentral:misc_RNA from 1 species
GGCGGAGUCGGAGGAGGAGGAGGAGGAGGACUGCGAAUCGCUCAUAGCGUUAACUUUAGUGAGGGAUUGAAGGAUUGGCAGAUUGAUUGAUCAAAGCAUUGUUGUUUAGGAUCAAUUUAGCGCCACACAUGAGCACGAACUUCAACUUCAACCUUCGAAGGGGUGAUUUUGUCAGAGAGAAAGAGAGGGUGUGAGAGAUAAUGAUGAAUGGAGGCUGUUAGGGUUUUUCUUCCACAGAAAUAAUAGAGAAUUUGAC